UUCGGUGGCGAUAGCGCAGGGGAAACACCCGAUCCCUUUUCGAACUCGGUAGUUAAGCCCUGCUGCGCCGAUGGUACUGCGGGGGCCACCCCGUGGGAGAGUAGGUCGCCGCCGGUU
rnacentral:rRNA from 1 species